rnacentral:hammerhead_ribozyme from 1 species
AUACAGCCGACAAGUCCCAAAUGGGAGGAAGCGCGAGUCCUGUAU